rnacentral:rRNA from 1 species
GCCUGCCCAGUGGAUAUUAUUCAACGGCCGCGGUACCCUAACCGUGCGAAGGUAGCAUAAUCACUUGUCCUCUAAAUAAGGACUUGUAUCAACGGCACCACGAGGGUUGCACUGUCUCCUCCCUCUAAUCAGUGAAACUGAUCUCCCCGUGAAGAAGCGGGGAUAAAACUAUAAGACGAGAAGACCCCAUGGAGCUUCAAACUGAACAGCAACUUAAUUACUUAUUUCCCCAUAUAAUAAAGGUAUGCCUGUAAGUUUUGGGUUGGGGCGACCGCGGAGAACAAAAUAACCUCCACAGCGAAAAGAACUAAACCUUUAUCUAAGAGCCACCCCUCAAAGAAUUAGCACCCUAACGUAUAAUGACCCGAUUAUCGAUCAACGAACCAAGUUACCCUGGGGAUAACAGCGCAAUCUACUCCAAGAGCCCCUAUCGACGAGUAGGCUUACGACCUCGAUGUUGGAUCAGGGUAUCCCAGUGGUGCAGCCGCUACUAACGGUUCGUUUGUUCAACGAUUAAAACCCUACGUGAUCUGAGUCAAACCCGGAGAGG